GGACUGGAGUCUGCAACCCGACUCCACGAAGCUGGAUUCGCUGGUAAUCGCGCAUCAGCCACGGCGCGGUGAAUACGUUCCCGGGCCUUGUACACACCGCCCGUCAAGCCAUGGGAGCCGGGGUACCUGAAGUGCGUAACCGCGAGGAUCGCCCUAGGGUAAAACUGGUGACUGGGGCUAAGUCGUAACAAGGUACC
rnacentral:rRNA from 1 species